GAUUAGAUACCCUAUUAUUUUAAAACAUACUAAGGUAGUACUAAAUAUGAUUUUCAAACCUAAAGAAUAUGGCGGUGUUUUAUUAUAAUUAAAGGAACCUGUUUAUUAAUCGAUAAUCCACGAAAAUCUCACUUAAAUUUCAAAGUUUGUAUACCGUCGUCUAAAAUAAUAUCUAAAAAUUUUAUUACCAAAUAUACAAAAUAAAAUGUCAGAUCAUGGUGCAGCAAUAUUUAAGAUUAAAUUGGUUACAUUCUAUAAUCUAUCGACAUUGUUUGAAUUUAAAACUCAUUAAAGUAGGAUUUAAAUGUAAUUAAAGACUAUAAAUUUAUAAUGAAUAUUUCCAAACAUGUACAUAUCGCCCGUC
rnacentral:rRNA from 1 species